GACGUAGGGCGCAAGCGUUGUCCGGAUUUAUUGGGCGUAAAGAGCUCGUAGGCGGCUCGUUGCGUCGGCUGUGAAAACCCGCAGCUCAACUGUGGGCUUGCAGCCGAUACGGGCGGGCUGGAGUUCGGUAGGGGAGACUGGAAUUCCUGGUGUAGCGGUGAAAUGCGCAGAUAUCAGGAGGAACACCGGUGGCGAAGGCGGGUCUCUGGGCCAUUACUGACGCUGAGGAGCGAAAGCGUGGGGAGCGAACAGG
rnacentral:rRNA from 1 species